CUUUGGAUUUCAUUUGGAAACAGAUGCUAAUACCGAAUGAAACUUAGUGUCGCAUGACACGAAGUUAAAAGGCGCUUUGGCGGUUGUUAGAGAUGGACCCGCGGUGCAUUAGUUAGUUGGUGGGGUAAAGGCCCACCAAGACAAUGAUGCAUAGCCGCAUUUGAGAGACUGACCGGCCACAUUGGGACUGAGCCAGGACCAAACUCUCUACGGGAGGCUGCAGUAGGGAAUCUUCCACAAUGGGCGAAAGCCUGAUGGAGCAACGCCGCGUGUGUGAUGAAGGCUUUCGGGUCGUAAAGCACUGUUGUAUGGGAAGAACAGCUAGAAUAGGGAAUGAUUUUAGUUUGACGGUACCAUACCAGAAAGGGACGGCUAAAUACGUGCCAGCAGCCGCGGUAAUACGUAUGUCCCGAGCGUUAUCCGGAUUUAUUGGGC
rnacentral:rRNA from 1 species